rnacentral:rRNA from 1 species
GAUGAACGCUGGCGGCGUGCCUAACACAUGCAAGUCGAGCGAAAAGACGAGGAGCUUGCUCCUCUCACGUUAGCGGCGGACGGGUGUGACACACGAGUAUACCCCACCUAUCUGACUGGGAUCACUUCGGAACUCCGGCGCAAACCCCGGAUAAUCUAUUGAUCCACAUGGUUCAAUAGUAAAUGACGGUUUUGCUGUAUCUACUCGCUGGUUCCGAGCCGCUUUAGCUAGUUGGUAAGGUAACGGCUUACCACGGCUACGAUGCGUAGCCGACCGGAGAGGAGGAUCGGCCACACGGGAACGGAGACACGGACAAGACUCCUGCGGGAGGGAGCAGAAGGGAAUCGGCGGCAGUGGUCGAAAGCUUGACGGAGCGACGCGGCGUGUGUGAUGAAGGUCUUCGGAGCGUAAAGCUCUGUUAUUAGGGAUGAACAGAUGUGGAAGGAACUGUGGACGUCUUGACGGUAACUAAUCAGAAAGCAACGGCUAACUACGUG